rnacentral:lncRNA from 1 species
GAUUACAUAGCUCUUCUCUUGAGCUCUGCAACUGAUAAUUUCCAUCCAUGUUAACAGAGUCACGGAAUGUUCAUUUUCCCCUUGCGUUGUGUAAGGUUUUGUUUUAGCUAGGUGCAUGUAAUAAUUUUAGCCAUCUGCCAUUUAAAGUACUUUUGAGAUUAAUUAUUUAACACUAUGCAUUUCAGGUGACAUGUUUAUAUUUUAAAAGAAGCCAUCUGGAGGUAAUGUUUAAUCCAAGUCAUGACUAACAGCAUUUGGGAUUUCAUUAGAAUUCUAUGGUGCUAUUUUGAGGGUUUUUUUCCCCCUCUUUUUAAAUAUAACCUGUUUGAUGUUUUCAUCAUUUGUCAUCUGAUAUGGUUUGCCACUUAUAUGAUAAUUGCUACUUUUCUUAUUUAAGUAUAUUUCAUAAUUUAUUAUAAGUUCAGUGCCUGCUCAUGGCAAGGGAAAUCAGUUAUUGCUUGAAUGAACUGUUCAUUCACUUCAUUCAUACUGCUGAACUGAACUCUUCAUCUCUCUUAUUCACCCGAUAUCCCACUUCCCAGAGAUUACUGUUCAUACCAGCCGUUCCUAUAUAUUCUUCAGAAACUUUCUGCCAAUUUAUAAAUGCAUGAAUGUAUAGAAGACUUUUCUCUGUCUUCAAUUUACUUGAUGAUUGUGUGACCUAGUUCAUUUCCUGUCUUUGACCUAAUUGUUUAACUUGAGUUCUCAGAUGCCCACAUACCUUUGGUUUUCCCUUUUACCUCACUAGCAAUCCCUUUUCAGUUUUAUUUGGUGGUUUCUUCCUUUUUCCCUUAAUAUUGAAGCAGCUUUGGUUUCUUCUGUCUGUCUACACCCACACAUCCUAGUGAUCUCAUCCAAGUUCAUAGUUUUAAACACCAUAUGUUGACAGCUCCCAAAUAUAUAUCUCUAGCUCAGACCUCCCCAAAUCUAAUCUAUACCCAACUGUUUUCUUGGCACAUAACACAUAUGUAUACCAAAUAGACCUCUUAAAUUCACGUGCCCAAAAUGAACUUUUGGUUGCCACUCACAAGUAUAUCCUAUUCUCAGAUUUUGCCUUGUCUAUUGAUAAACUCCAUCCUUUUAGUAAUUCAAGCUAAACUUUGUCAAACUCUCUUACAUCUUCUGUUUAUCUCUCAUUGCAUAUCUAAGCUGAUAGGAAAUCCUGUUGGCUAUACUUCCAGAGUGUAUGUAGAAUCUUCCCAAUUUUCAGCAGUUUCACUGUUCUCACCAAGAUUCUAGCAAUAAUAAUUACCUACACAACUGACUGCCUUAGCCAUUUGUCUCAUUCUAGCCCUCCAAAGAUUAGCAACAAAUUCGUCUUUUAAAAAUAAGUCAGCAUACAUCACCUCUCUGUUCAGAAUGGCUCUCCAUUUACCUCACAGGAAAUGCUAAGGGUCAGUAUGAUCUGUACCCCUCUAUCUUAUUUCUGGUCUAUUCUCCCUACAUUUUCCCUCUUUUCUCAUAAGGCUUGUGCACCGCUUCUUGCUUUUCCUGGAAUUUAUGGUGCUUAUCCUCACAGUUGCUAGCCAUUCUCCCUGCUGGAAUUCUAUUUGCCAGAUAACCUAUUUGCCUGGCUGCCUAGAAGUGUCUUUAUUCAAGCUCCCCCCCCCUUCUCUAUGAGAUCUAUGCUUACUAAUCUGUGUAAUAGUGCAAAUAGCACGAACCCCAUAGGCAAUACGACCACCUUAUCCUGUUCUACAUUUUUCUUUUUCCACAUUGUGUUUAUGAUUUAUUUCCACUUCUCUUUUCUGGAAUGUAAACACUUAGAGAAUAGGGGUAUCUACAUUUUGUGCACUGAUCUAUCUCAGGACAUAGCAGUAUCUGGAAGACUAGCACAUAGUAAGCAUUUGAUAUAAAUGUGAACAUAAAUUUUGUAUAUAUAAAUAAAUGAAUGACCAAAUUACUCCAGAUUUCUUGUAUGGCUUCUGUGUUUUAAAAGCAUACAUGACAUGUACCAGCACGAGGAAACACACUGUCUUUUCUUUUUAAGGAAAAAGAAGAAAGGCAAAUCAUUUUGUAUAUUUGUUUAUAAGAAGAGAAAUGUAGUUGAAUUUUAGGACCAUGAAACAAAACAUCUACAGUCUAGUUUCUUCUGGUUUAUUGAUGUGUGACUGUAAUUUUGUAGUAUCAACUGCACUUGAAAAAUUGAAAUCAGAGAUUUAACUUGAUGGUUUGUAAGAUUGCUUCAUAGUGAUGGUGGAGGAUAAACAAGGUAAAAAUGACUUCUGCCUGAUGCUCUUUUGUAUCUAAUAUUCAUGUACUUUGCCCUUUUUACUCUUAAGUGUUCAGUUAUUUAUUUAUAAAACAAGAUGUAAGUGUGGGAGUGCAUGCAUAUGAGCACAUGUAUGAAAACAGUGUCUGUCUAUAUGUCUAAGUGUUUGUUACAAAAUUGACUUACAGCAAAUCAAAGUAUGUAAUUCCAAGAGGUGUAAGUCAUUUCAAGUGUAAAUUAUACAUAGAACCAUGCACAUAUAAUCAUGCACAUCUCAAGAAAGAGAACAGCAUUGAGAGAGGGAGGAGGAGAGACAGAGUUUUAAUGAAUUAUACCCAAUUAUUUGAGUUAUAAAUAUUUUCCAUUUACAAAUAUUUAAUACACUAUUUAACCCUGUACUUUUCUGUUGUCAGACAAAUAAUCUAUGGUACACCAAGAAAACAAAAAAAAAGAGUAAAGAAACUACCAAAUAUAUUUAGUAAACAUUAUGUUAACAUAAAACAACAAUGAAAGUAAACCUAUAGCUUAAACGGCAGACUUACAUAAAAGGCUAAAAAUAUUUUAUGCAGUGUCUAUUAUUUUUAGGUAAAUGCCCUCUUAUCUGAUUGUCCUAGUUCAUUUGAGCUGCUAUUAAUUAAAAAAAAAAGAACAUAAACUGAGUAUUUCUCAUAGUUCUACAGGCUGGAAAGCACUGGUAGAUUCUGCCUGGUCACUGCUGUGCUUCCUGGUUCAUAGACCUCUGUCUUCUUGCUCUUAUAUGGUAGAUAGGUUGAGAGUGCUCCCUGGUGUCUCUUUUAUCAGGCACUAAACCCAUUCGUAAGGGUUCUGCCCUCAUAACCCAGUGCCCCCCCUCAAAGACCCCAUCUCCCAAGACCAUCACAUAGAGGGUGAGGAUUUCAACAUAUAAAUUUUGAAGGACACAAUAGCACUGCCUUUAAUGGAAGGUUUUGUUACUGUUGCUUCAAUGUUAAUAAAAUUAACUAUUGAAUCAGUGUAUUAGGUAGUAUUAAGUCACAGAAGCAGAGCCCACUCUAAAUUUCGUGAGAACUAGGGAUUAAUUUUUAGAAUGAACUCGCACAACUAAAAGUGAGUUGGGGAAGUGAAAGUUUGGAAAAAGGAGACUAAAGUCAGAGAGAAAAAGCUGCUACCUAUUCUGCCUGGAGCUCCAGUGGGGGUGAAAUAGUCAAAGCCGGCAAGGAAAGCUGGGAAUCAAAGCAUGUAGGGCCACUGAGGUGACAGGCCAUGACAAGAUGCUUAAGCGGAGGUCUAUAAGAAGCUAUUUCCUCAGCUGAGCAACUGCAUGUGUGGGUCUUCAGCCAAUAAAGGGAGGUUGGGGGUUCUCAGGCUGCUGUACUUUGUGUGGGAAGCCUUCAGGAAUAAGAGCGAAUAGAGGAAUACAGCAGAUUGAGGACCAGUUGGGCCCACUUUUCCACUUCUGGAUCUGUCCAUCAGAUAUUUGCCCAUAAUGGUUUUUGAGAAUAUUGGUUGAUCCUUCACUUUUUUAUAAUGAUUUUUAUUUUUUCCAUUAUAGCUGGUUUACAGUGCUCUGUCAACUUUCUACUGUUACAGCAAUGUGACCCAUUUAUGCAUAUUUGUAUACAUUCUUUUUUCUCAUGUUAAUCCAUCAUUAACAUGAUCUAGUCCAUCACAAGUGACUAGAUAUAGUUCCCAGUGCUAUACAGCAGAAUAUCAUUGCAAAGGCAAUAGUUUGCAUCUGUUAACCCCAAAUUCCCAAUCUAUCUCACUCUCUCCCCCCCGCAUGGCAACCACAAGUUUGUUCUUCAUGUCCAUGAUUUUCUCUUCUUUUAAGCUAUGCUUCUGGUCGGUUCUCUUCAGCAACCAUCUGGAAAAUUAUUCCAUAUUUUGUAUUUAUGAAAUGUAUUCCCAGCUUCACCGAGGUGUUACAGCAUGGUGCAGCAGGUCUAUUCAUCCUCCAUGACAUCCAAACACACCUCUUUCAACUAUGUUUAUCUUCCAUAAAAAGGAAGCAGCAAAAUUAGGUUUCCACCUAACAUGAUAGUCCUAUGGUUCAACAUCUAAGUGCAGUUUCUAUGUCAAUUAUAUUUAAUAUUAAUAGUUUGAUUUAAUCCAUCUGUUUUUCCCCUGAGUUCUAGUAUACAUUAAACAAUAAUGAAAAUAAUGAAAAGCAAUAUGCAAUAAAUGAUCAACACUGCAACUUGUCCAGAAUGUACAUGAAAAAAUAUGGUGUGAUCUUUCACUUCUCUCUUCAUAGUAAUGGACAUAUUUUUACAUGACUAAAAUAUCAACAACCUGUUAGCAUUCUUCACUUAUAUUUAUGUAUAGUACAAAAUGUUUAUCUGACAUAUGGCAGCAUUCUGGAAGGUCUAAUAAUAUCCUUAAAAUUUUGAAAUAUUAUCCUCUUGUAUCUGGGAUUAUUUUAUAUGAAUCUGAUGUCCCAUAUUUUUAUUUCAUUCCUUUAUUUAGUAAAUAUUUAUUUGGUGAUAUGCUAUAUUCCAGACCCUGUUCUAAGUACUGUGUUCAUAGUAAUAAAAAAAUGGCAAAGUCUCUGUUUAUGUGGGAUUUUAUAUGCUAUUCUUUAGCCUCUAUAAUCCAUCUAUUCCAUUAAACAAUAACUCCAUUGGAGCUAAAGAAGUUAAGAUAAAGAAUUUUAAAAAGUUAAGUGGUGCAGUAGUUCUGGAUGAGUCACAGUCUUGAAGUUCCUCACAGAAACAGUGCAGAUGAUGAUAACUGUCCAGUUGGUGGGUAACUUCAUCAGUUAUGUGGCUACUCUUAAUUUCCAGAACUUCUUACAGUAGAACCAUGGUAGUUCUGUAGCAAAAAUUAAAAAAAAA